GACGAACGCUGGCGGCGUGCUUAACACAUGCGAGUCGAACGGAAAGGCCCUGCUUUUGUGGGGUGCUCGAGUGGCGAACGGGUGAGUAACACGUGAGUAACCUGCCCUUGACUUUGGGAUAACUUCAGGAAACUGGGGCUAAUACCGGAUAGGAGCUCCUGCUGCAUGGUGGGGGUUGGAAAGUUUCGGCGGUUGGGGAUGGACUCGCGGCUUAUCAGCUUGUUGGUGGGGUAGUGGCUUACCAAGGCUUUGACGGGUAGCCGGCCUGAGAGGGUGACCGGCCACCUUAGGACUAAGAGACGGCCCAGACUCCUACGGGAGGCAGCAGGGGGGAAUAUUGCACAAUGGGCGGAAGCCUGAUGCAGCAACGCCGCGUGCGGGAUGACGGCCUUCGGGUUGUAAACCGCUUUCGCCUGUGACGAAGCGUGAGUGACGGUAAUGGGUAAAGAAGCACCGGCUAACUACGUG
rnacentral:rRNA from 1 species